rnacentral:rRNA from 1 species
UACGUAGGGGGCUAGCGUUGUCCGGAAUCAUUGGGCGUAAAGCGCGUGUAGGCGGCCCGGUAAGUCCGCUGUGAAAGUCGGGGGCUCAACCUCGGAUGCCGGUGGAUACUGUCGGGCUGGAGUCCGGAAGAGGCGAGUGGAAUUCCUGGUGUAGCGGUGAAAUGCGUAGAGAUUGGGAAGAACACCGGUGGCGAAAGCGCUCUGCUGGGCCGCAACUGACACUAAUGGACGAAAGCUAGGGGAGCGAAU